GCUGACCAGCUAGCCCACCCUAACAAAAACAACAACCCAAUAUAAAUAACCCCAAACACACUACUCCUCCUAUAAACAAACCAUUUUACCCCCCUAGUAUGGGCGACAGAAAAGGAACUAUUGGAGCGAUAGAGAAAGUACCGCAAGGGAACGCUGAAAGAGAAAUGAAAUAACCCAGUAAAGCCUAAAAAAGCAGAGAUUUUACCUCGUACCUUUUGCAUCAUGAUUUAGCUAGUACUACCCAAGCAAAGAGAACUUUAGUUUGGACCCCCGAAACUAGGUGAGCUACUCCAAGACAGCCUAUCAAUAGGGCAAACCCGUCUCUGUGGCAAAAGAGUGGGAAGAGCUUUGAGUAGAGGUGACAGACCUACCGAACCUAGUUAUAGCUGGUUGCCUGAGAAUUGGAUAGGAGUUCAGCCUCCAGGCUUCUCUAUUCACCGCGGUCUUACCCCUACCGAUGCACUAAAGAAGCCUAGAGAGUUAAUCAAAGGGGGUACAGCCCCUUUGAGACAAGAUACAACUUUUCCAGGAGGGUAAAGAUCAUAUUUACCCAAGGUAACAAUGCCCAGGUGGGCCUAAAAGCAGCCAUCCUUACAGAAAGCGUUAAAGCUCAAGCAUUACACCUUCCCACAUAUUCAGAUAACCAUAUCCCAACCCCCUAAUAUUAUCAGGCCAUCUCAUGCAUACAUGAGAGUGCACAUGCUAAUAUGAGUAACAAGAGAGCCUCCGCCUCUCUCCUUGCACACGUGUAAAUCGGAACGAACCCCCACCGAAACUUAACGGCCCCAAACAAAGAGGGCAAUGAACAACAAGUAAGCAACCAGAAAACCAUCCAAAAAACAACCGUUAACCCCACACUGGUGUGCCAUUAAGGAAAGACUAAAAGAAAAAGAAGGAACUCGGCAAACAUACCAAGCCUCGCCUGUUUACCAAAAACAUCGCCUCUUGCAAAAACAAAGAAUAAGAGGUCCAGCCUGCCCUGUGACUAUAUGUUUAACGGCCGCGGUAUUUUAACCGUGCGAAGGUAGCGCAAUCACUUGUCUUUUAAAUGGAGACCUGUAUGAAUGGCAUUACGAGGGCUUAACUGUCUCCUUUUUCUAGUCAGUGAAAUUGAUCUCCCCGUGCAGAAGCGGGGAUAUAACCAUAAGACGAGAAGACCCUAUGGAGCUUUAGACACCAAGGCAUAUCAUGUCAAACACCCCUAAACAAAGGACUAAACCAAAUGAAUCAUGCCCCCAUGUCUUUGGUUGGGGCGACCGCGGGGAAAUAAAAAACCCCCACGUGGAAUGGGAGUACUACCUCCUACAACCAAGAGCUGCAGCUCUAAAAAACAGAAUAUCUGACCAAUAAGAUCCGGCAACGCCGAUCAACGGACCGAGUUACCCUAGGGAUAACAGCGCAAUCCCCUUUUAGAGCCCAUAUCGACAAGGGGGUUUACGACCUCGAUGUUGGAUCAGGACAUCCUAAUGGUGCAGCCGCUGUUAAGGGUUCGUUUGUUCAACGAUUAAAGUCCUACGUGAUCUGAGUUCAGACCGGAGUAAUCCAGGUCAGUUUCUAUCUAUGAUAUGUUCUUUUCUAGUACGAAAGGACCGAAAAGAAGAGGCCAAUGCUAAAAGCACGCCUCACCCCUCCUAUUGAAAACAACUAAAAUAGGCAAAAGGGCAUACCCCUCCACGCCCAAGAUAAUGGCAU
rnacentral:rRNA from 1 species